rnacentral:rRNA from 1 species
UCGACAACGGAUAUCUCGGCUCUCGCAUCGAUGAAGAACGUAGCGAAAUGCGAUACUUGGUGUGAAUUGCAGAAUCCCGUGAACCAUCGAGUCUUUGAACGCAAGUUGCGCCUGAAGCCAUUCGGCCGAAGGCACGUCUGCUUGGGGGUC